GCAGUCUCUCCAGGGCAAUUUGAAGACAAGUCUUCGUCAUCUGUAGGAUUACAAAGGAAGAGAGAGAGGCAAGAGAAUUUGGUACCCAAUACUUGGUAGAACCACCUUUGGCAGCAAUUCAGCUGUGAGUCUUUUGGGAUCUCCAAAAGGAUCCUGCUAUCUUACAUAGCCUAAUGGAAGAAAAUCUUUUGCUACAGUUUCACCUUGGAAUGCACUGCCGACGGGACUUAGAUCCGAGACUAACCAUCGUCAAUUAACAA